GAUGAACGCUAGCUCCAGGCUUAACACAUGCAAGUCGAGGGGUAACGAGAGGAAAGCUUGCUUUCCUUGUCGACGACCGGCGCACGGGUGAGUAACGCGUAUCCAACCUGCCCCCAACUAGGGAAUAACCUUGCGAAAGUAAGACUAAUACCCUAUAAUUUCCUCAGAUGUCAUCUGACGAGGAAUAAAGAUUUAUCGGUUGUGGAUGGGGAUGCGUCUGAUUAGCUUGUUGGCGGGGUAACGGCCCACCAAGGCAACGAUCAGUAGGGGUUCUGGGAGGAAGGUCCCCCACAUGGUAACUGAGAAACGGUCCAAACUCCUACGGGAGGCAGCGGUGAGGAAUAUUGGUCAAUGGGCGGAAGCCUGAACCAGCCAAGUAGCGUGCAGGAUGACGGCCCUAUGGGUUGUAAACUGCUUUUAUACAGGAAUAAAGUUAGCCACGUGUGGUUAUUUGUAGGUACUGUAUGAAUAAGGACCGGCUAAUUCCGUGCCAGCCGCCGCGGUAA
rnacentral:rRNA from 1 species